rnacentral:rRNA from 1 species
GACUAAUAAUCAUGGUUCAUGACGGUAUCAACAGAAGAAGCACCGGCUAACUACGUGCCAGCAGCCGCGGUAAUACGUAGGGUGCAAGCGUUAAUCGGAAUUACGUGGGCGUAAAGGGUGCGCAGGCGGUUCUGUAAGUCAGAUGUGAAAUCCCCGGGCUUAACCUGGGAACUGCGUUUGAAACUGCAGAGCUAGAGUGCGGCAGAGGGAGGUGGAAUUCCAUGUGUAGCAGUGAAAUGCGUAGAGAUAUGGAAGAACAUCGAUGGCGAAGGCAACCUCCUGGGCUAGCACUGACGCUCAUGCACGAAAGCGUGGGGAGCAAACAGGAUUAGAUACCCUGGUAGUCCACGCCCUAAACUAUGUCAACUAGUUGUCGGGCCUUAAUAGGCUUGGUAACGUAGCUAACGCGUGAAGUUGACCGCCUGGGGAGUACGGUCGCAAGAUUAAAAACUCAAAGGAAUUGACGGGGACCCGCACAAGCGGUGGAUUAUGUGGA